rnacentral:lncRNA from 1 species
GUCGAGAUACAGGAAGAGAAGAGAGAAGAGCCAAUGAUUCGUUCAAAUAUUGUUUUAUUCGUUAUUAUUGGUAUUGGACUUGUUCAAUAUUUGCAAGCAUGCACAUAUAUGGGAAAACUAAAAAGUGUAGAAGGACCACCUAAACCAAAACGAAAGAUCGUCGAAAUCAACAAUAUUCACCUGAGUGACAAUGAUGUGAUUGUGGAUUCAACAGGUAGGUUUAUG